UGCCCCAGCAAUGGGGCAAGAGACACCUUGUUGCUGGUGGUGUUCUUACAUCAGUCAGAGCAGAUGGCAGUCCUUUGUUCAUCCUAGCUUGAUGUCUGGCUUAGUGGCCAAAACUCUCUUAUGCCUAGGACACAUAA